rnacentral:rRNA from 1 species
UACGUAGGUGGCAAGCGUUGUCCGGAUUUAUUGGGUUUAAAGGGUGCGUAGGCGGUUCCAUAAGUCAGUGGUGAAAUACGGCAGCUCAACUGUCGAGGUGCCAUUGAUACUGCGGAACUUGAGUGUUGAUGAGGCAGGCGGAAUUGACGGUGUAGCGGUGAAAUGCUUAGAUAUCGUCAAGAACACCGAUAGCGAAGGCAGCUUGCCAAGCAACAACUGACGCUCAGGCACGAAAGUGCGGGGAGCAAACAGG